rnacentral:rRNA from 1 species
AUGCUCUGCGGGCUGGAUGAGGCGCUGGGCGGAGGUAUCCCCCUGGGCAAGCACACAGAGGUCGUCGGGCCCUCGGGGAUCGGCAAGACGCAGGCGCCGGAGGGGUAUGCGCUCGUGAGAUUUGAUCUGGCCGCUGCUUCGUCGUUAAAGGUGGAUUGGGGGGUGAUCGACGAGGGCUACUACGGCCAGAUGGGAGUCGUGCUCUUCAACUACUCGGAGGCAGACUUCACUGUGAAGCCCCGCGACCGCGUCAUGCAGAUUAUCUUCCAGGUGAUUGCGACACAGGAGGUCCUCGGGGUGGAGGACCUCGACGCCACCGUUUGGAGGUCACCGAGGUGGAGGACGACUCCACCGUUCGGAGUUCCUCAAGGUGGAGGACCUCGACGCUUUGUACAUACAUCUAGAGAAGUGGUCUGGGAUGCCUCCCCGUCUAGGUUGCUACAUCCGCUCGUCGAUGAUUUGCCGUGUCCUGUUAUUCAAUAUGCAGAUGACACUCUGGUAUUGGUCCGUGCUGAACAGGGGCAGCUCGUGCGGCUCAAGUCUAUUCUGGAUACAUUCUCUGCCGCUACGGGGCUGCCUAUCAACUUCCACAAAAGCACCUUCGUUCCAGUUGGCAUUGACCCCGCCCGUGCCACUCUCCUAGCUGCGGGGCUUGGUUGCCCGCUGUCAGUGUUCCCACAGACAUACCUCGGCCUACCUCUCUCCGAUGCGAAGCUGCCCGCUAGCGCCCUGGACUUUUUGCCGAUCAAGAUCGAGCGGCGCAUCCUCGGGUGGCGCACCCGUUUCCUCGACCAGGGGGGGGGGCGUUUGACACUCACCUCUACGGUACUCUCUGCAAUCCCUACUCAUGCCAUGUCGGUGCUCCCCCUCUCUAAAGGCACUGUGGCCAAGAUGGACCGCCCUCGUAGGGCCAUGUUCUGGAAAGGGGCGAGUGAGUGCUCAGGAGGUGAUUGCCAGGUUGCCUGGCAGGACGCCUGUCGGCUCCGCUCAGAAGGGGGGCUUGGCUUGGUGGAUAUUGGCGCCCAGAAUACAUGCCUCCUUCUAAAGAUGGUUCAUAAAAUCUUCAGUGGUGUGCUUAACCCGUGGACUGUCUGGGUCCGCCCUUGGUACAUGGGUGAUCAUCCGGCGCUCCCGACCCCCACCUGGAGAGCCUUUGCCUCCCUUGUCCUGCUAUACCGUUCACUUACAUCAAUGAGGGUUAGCAACGGCGAGCACACCUCCCUCUGGCAUGACAACUGGACCUCGCUGGGUCAUUUGGCGGCUGCUCUCCCCGCAGCUUAUUCACACUGCCUCCGCCCCGAAGCAACCCUGGGGGACUUUGGUCGGUUUGGUGCUAAUGCAGUCCCCAUGCACGAUCGUUUGUCCAGAACUGCAGGAUUGGAACUUCGCCUGCUUCGAUCGGCCCUCGAUCGUGUCCAGUUCUCUGAGGUGGGUGACGAGCGAAUCCUAGCUUGGGGUGAGUGUCUUCAGUUCAAGGCGAGCGUGGUGUACCGUAUGAUCAAGCUUUCUGGAUGUGAGCUCCCCCUACAUGACCUCAACUGGGAUGGCUUCAUGCCCUUCAAGGUCAAGGUGUUUGUCUGGGUUCUGCGACAUGGUAACACUCGUGAAGGAGGAAAAAAGGAUGGAACUACAACAGGGCGCAAAGCUGCUGGAACGAGUCGCCACCAAUUCUCCCGGGAAGAAGAAGAUUUGGACACGCGUGAGUGCGUGGACAAGGACAAUGCAUGA